rnacentral:rRNA from 1 species
CACAAGCGGCGGAGCAUGCGGAUUAAUCGAUGCAACGCGAAGACCUUACCAAGGCUUGACAUACACCGGUAACGCCCAGAGAUGGGUGCCCCUUUGUGGUCGGUGUACAGGUGGUGCAUGGUUGUCGUCAGCUCGUGUCGUGAGAUGUUGGGUUAAGUCCCGCAACGAGCGCAACCCUCGUCCUAUGUUGCCAGCGGGUCAUGCCGGGGACUCAUGGGAGACUGCCGGGGUCAACUCGGAGGAAGGUGGGAUGACGUCAAAUCAUCAUGCCCCUUAUGUCUUGGGCUUCACGCAUGCUACAAUGGCCGGUACAAAGGGCUGCGAUACCGCGAGGUGGAGCGAAUCCCAGAAAGCCGGUCUCAGUUCGGAUUGGAGUCUGCAACUCGACUCCAUGAAGUUGGAAUCGCUAGUAAUCGCGGAUCAGCAUGCCGCGGUGAAUACGUUCCCGGGCCUU